rnacentral:lncRNA from 1 species
GGAGUGGAGUUCCUGACUGAGAACCUCGCUCGGCUUAGGUUGCAAUGGUGCCUCAGUUUCCCCAGGUUCCUGGAGGCGGACUCAGGAUGCACAGCAGGACCCCUACACCCUUCCGGUGGAGGACAGCCUUUCUGCUCAGGUGGCCUCCUCUGAUGCAGUGUGGGCGAUCCACCAGUCGGUCUGGUGCCUGCACUUGUACACGUCUCUCGUACCCCAGCUGAAGGACACGUGUGAGCUGCGGCCCCACUCCACACGGACCUGACCACACACAGCACAUCUCUGGCGAGUGGCAUCCUCGCCCACCCAGUGCUACCGACGCCGGCUCUGCUCACCUGACUGUGGCCUGUGUUCAGGCUCCUGUGGGAGAAGCACCAGCUGCGGGCUUACCUCUUGGGGUCUCCUUCCCCUGGGAUCCGUCUGGACUCAGCCUGGGACACUGCCCUUGGCCGUUUCCCAGCUUCCGCAGUUGUCCUGAACGCACAGUUUGCCAAUUUGUCUUCAUGGAGAGAAACAGAAGUCUCACCGGGCAUUUCUUUCUCCCAGGCUCACGUCCGCAGAGCACAGGGGACCGGCUCAGGGGCCUUCCUGUCGGUUUACACGAGGUCGAGGUCAGGCUAAGGGAAGUGCUUCAGCACUGCGUGACCUCGGGGAGCCCCACCUACUGUAGAGUCCUGCGGCGCCUGUUUCUUCCCAUGGCUUGUUUCCUUCCUCGGAUUCAUUUGAAAGUUAUAUUUGUAAUCCCCUUGAGACGUGAUUGGAAUCCCGGCAAGUUAAUUCCAAUCCACCACCUCCAAUACAACCCACGGCGAGAGUAAAGACACCAAGACAGAUUCCAACUUAAGAACAGCCAAGGGGUCCUGAGUCCAAUCUCCGUGAGGGUGUGCAGAGAGGCCCUGAUCCUAGGCCUCUCCCAGCAUUCCUUAUCUUGUGAAGAAGGGGCGUGGCUCCAGGAUGAGUGACAGUGAGGAUGGUGGGAAUCACACAGCACUAUGCGAGGAACAGGAGGCUGUCAGACUGACUUCAAAGAUUACCCAUCAGUACUUCAGCCGGCCUUACUUGCAUUGCUUAGAGCCAGUUGAAGAGAAGAAAUACCAGCGCCAGCCCUGUACAUAUCAGUAUAUGGAAAUAAGACUCCAUUUAACCAGUGUUGUAGCAGCUGUUCUGCAAGCAAGCAGAGGAGCUUGUGUCGUCUUCUACAACCAUCACUGUUGGAUUCCAUCACUGAUGAAGCUGACAUCUGCUGGCAUUCCCUGCUGUGCAUUUGCUCCAGUUCCCUUUGCAGAUGGCGAGUGUUUCUGUGGGGACUUUGAGACUCAUGCAAACACCAUUCCUCAUAGACACUACCGAAGGUAGGGUCUGUGUAUCACCCCUCCCUCCCCUUCCUGCCCUCCUUCUCCCCCUUCCUUCCCCUCCCGCCCUCCCUUUGUAUCACCUGGUUUUCUUCCCACUUGGCGAAGCCAGUCUUCAGGUACCUUCUCAGAAGGGACGUCUCGGGGACGCAGGUCUGAGCCUGCGUGACAGUGUCUCCCUUGGGAAGAAGGAGGCACCACUCCUUCUUGAAUGGCUACUUGGGUUAGUUACACAGCUCUAGAGUAGGAGACUCUUUGCAGCCUUUGUUUUACUGUCUCCCAGUGUCCUGUGCUGCUGUUGAAAAGCUGCUGUUAUUCCAACUUAUAAAAUCUCCUCUGAAAUAUUUUAAAACUUGUUUCUAGAAAGUUUUUUGGUGGGAAAAGUGUCUCCCAUUUUGGUGCUGGGCACUCUCUGACCUGGUCAGUCUGGAAAAGCUUGCUCCUCAGUGGUUGCAGUGUGGGUUCUUUUUCCUUUAGUAAUCUAUUCUCUGAAGAAAAUGUGGCAUAUGUACAUUGUGGAGUACUAGUCAGCCAUAAAAAAGACAAAUUUGAGUCAUGUAGGAAAGUGGGUGCACCUUGAGACCAUAGGUUAAAUAGUAUGUGAGUUUUCUUAUACAGUAAGAGAAACCCAAAGUAUAAAUAAUUUAAGUAACAAAAUAAAAGACAGAUGGUAGGAAACAGGAAGAGAGACCUUUUGGAGAAGAGAAAGGUAUCUAGGGAUGGAGAGAUAGGGGAGGGAAGUAAAAAAACUGAGAUGUGAUACAUAUGUGUACCAACUUCCCACUGAUGAAUGUGUUCACUUUGUACCAUAAUCAUGUACUAAUAAAAAUUGUUAAACUUAAC